UACGUAGGGGGCAAGCGUUGUCCGGAAUCAUUGGGCGUAAAGAGCGUGUAGGCGGCCCGAUAAGUCCGCUGUGAAAGUCCAGGGCUCAACCCUGGGAUGCCGGUGGAUACUGUCGGGCUCGAGUCCGGAAGAGGAGUGUGGAAUUCCUGGUGUAGCGGUGAAAUGCGCAGAUAUCAGGAGGAACACCAAUAGCGAAGGCAGCUCGCUGGGACGUUACUGACACUGAGGCGCGAAAGCGUGGGGAGCAAACAGG
rnacentral:rRNA from 1 species